rnacentral:lncRNA from 1 species
ACUGGAAUUUGUGUGUGUGUGUGUUUCAGAAACUGUGUGUGUGUGUGUGUGUGUGUGUGUGUGUGUGUGUUUUCAGCUUGAGAAAGAUGAAAUCACGUUUCCUUAAUGCUGGGAGUAAUAAUGCUUAAUGCUUAACUUUUCAUUGUUCUUUCAUGUUUCAAGCCCUACCAGGCCCAGGAAAACACUUCUUUCCGUUUCCUGUAGCCUUCCUGCGUAUCAUGCAUUAUAUUUGAAAGUGCUUUCCUCUACUUUCCUCAUUUUAUCUCAAUAAUCUCUGCUAAAACCAGAUAACUUUCACCCUCCCGGUUCAGCAUUUGCUCUUUUCCCUCCUACACAAGCUGAUUAGAAUUUGCAAAGAGAGAGGAAGAAGAAAGGUUCUAUUUUGUUUCAUGAUUGUUGCUAGAAAACGGCAAGACCUCGGGAGAGAGACCAGCAUAUUAUUUCCCAGUGGAUGUCAGAGCUAGCAAAGUUUUUUUUUUUUCUUUAAAUUUUAUUCCCUAGCAGGUCAAAAACUAGUAUGUUUGCAAGAACAAUUUCUAGUUUGCUCAUAAAACUAUUGUUAUUAGCCACUCUAAGGUUGGCAUACUUUUAAAAGUUCAAACAAGUUCCUUCUAGAAUAGGGUUCUUUUAAACAUUAACAUUUAAAAAGAAGUAAUUUUUUUCAUAAAUAAUUUAGAUUUAACUCUUUACCUCUAUAGUAUAUCUGCCUUACUUCGUUAAUGUGUCCCCUGAUUUACUGCCUAUGUCAAAGCACUUUUAAAAUAAUGUCAAUUUUCUUGUUCUCCCAGUUCAUUUUUCUGAGGACCAAUGGUGAUAAGUGUUGGUCUGCCUAUCUUCCCAGAAUAAUCCAAGAUUUGGGGAAAGAAAGAGUAUUUUGCUAAUUUCAGUUUUCUUUCACAUUAAAAAGUUCAACGUAUCUAGAACGGAACAAAACGGAGAAAGCAAAGAAUAAAGAAGGAAUAAUCCUGCAGCAAUAUGGAAGAUGGAGGUAUGGCUAAGGAUGAAUGAAAAAAAAAAAAGACUUCCUAAAGGAAAAUCAAAGUAGUUUCAGCAGCAAAUAAAAGGCAAAGAAACAUAUAUUGGGGAAAGGAUACUGUAUUCAGUAAAUUGUGCUGGAAAAAGUGGUAAGCCACAUGUAGAAGAAUGAAACUGGAUCCCCAGCUCUCACCUAAUACAAAAAUCGACUCAAGAUGCAUCAAAGACUUAAAUAUAAAACCUGAAACCUUGAAAAUUCUAGAAGAUAACACCAGAAAAACUCUUCUAAAUGUUGGCUUACGCAAAGAAUUCAUGACUAAGACACCAAAAGAAAAUGCAACAAAAACAAAAAUAAAUAAAUGGGACUCAAUUAAACUGAAAAGAUUUUGCACACCAAAUAAAUAAUCAGAAGAAUAAACAGAAAACCCACAGAAUGGAAGAAAAUAUUCACCAACUAUGCAUCUGACAAAGGACUAGUAUCCAGAAUUUACAAGGAACUCAAACAAAUAAAUGAAUUCAAAUAUCCCAUUAAAAAGUGUGCAAAGGACAUGAAUAGACAAUUGUCAAAAGAAGAUAUACAAACAGCCAAUAAACAUAAAAAAAAAUACAGCAUCGCUAGUCACCAGGGAAAUGCAAAUUAAAACCACAGUGAGAUUCCACCUUACUCCCGCAAGAAUGUCCACAAUUAAAAAGUCAGAAAACAAUAGAUGUUGGCAUGGAUUUGGUGAAAAUCACAUCAGUGAAUACAGAUUUGGGAAGAAAUGUGCAUAACUGGUUUCAGCUAGCCAACACGCUGGUCCCAGUAUACCACUGGCUACGGCAUUCUAAAAGUGUCCUCAUAUGUAUCUAUUAAAUAUUCAAGAACUUUGACCAAUAUAUUCUCUGCCAAAUGCUCUCAAGAAAUCUUGGUGGAGAUGGUGUCGGGGUAAGGUGGGGGUUUUUCCGAAAUGGAAUCAUGUUAAUGUGGACUUAAUGUUAAAAUAUGAAUUUUCAAAAAAAUUUGCUUUACUUUCAGUAGGCUAAAUACCUACAUAGUAAAAUUUAAAAAAAUCUGUAAUUCUCUCUUAAUUUAUUCAUUAUACUAUUAUAUGUGGUAGGCAUUUUUUUCCUGGCUCUCAUAUCAUUUGUGUUUGUUUUAUACUAAUGAAAUACAGAAAAACUCUGUAGUAUAUAGAGCCCAAUGGAACUUUUAAGAGUGAGAAUUUUAAUUUGUAUAUUAUGGAAAAGUCAUCUCAGAAAUAUUAGUUUAUAAAUAUGCAGAUACAAUUUCUAGAAUGUCAAAAAAUAAUCCUUUCACCUGAGUUGUCUUAAGUAAAUAACUUUUAGGAUUUUUAAUUGGAUUAUUUAUGUAAUCAUUAUAAAGGAGAUCUGAGGUAAAUUGCUUAAGCAUUUUCUUUAGCUUUUUGCAAGACUAAAAAUGGAGAAUAAAUAUUUGCUCAAAUAUCGAGUCAAACUAAUUUUGAAGAGAAAUCUCUAAAUACUUUAUUAAAUGACCAAAAUAUAAGAAAAUGUUUAAAAAGACUGCAAAUAGAAACACAUCAGUUUAAAGCACACAAAGAGAUAAGUGGAAAAAGUAUUUUCUCAGAACAUGCUAAAAAAAACUUAGAAUAUCCAGGAUACUGCAUUUAUUCAUCCUUACAACAUGAAUUUUAAAUAUCUUAGCGACUGUGCUAUCAUUUUCAGUGUUCUGUAUGAAUUCUUACCUUCUCAGAAGAUUAUGUAGAUAUAACAGAUACUUCUGGAAUAUAUAUCCAUGAUAAGAUUUGUCUUUUUACAGGAGAAAAGAAAAUAUAUCAAGUCCAACAGAACUUAAGAAAAUACAAUUUAAUUAACUUUAUAUGAUAUAGGCCUUGUUAAUAUUAUAUAUCAAAAAAGAAUUCUAGUUUAUAUUCUUUUGUCUGUAAGAUGGGGGAGCUGUUGCAUUAUAAAAAAUACUGGUCAGUUCCAUUCCUCUAAGCAUUUUCUUUUGAUUAAAAUCAUUUGUAGUAAAAAUGAUGACCCAAACCUUUGUAAAUGAUAUUUUAGCUGGGUUAUAAUCUAAUGAAAUUGUGAUUUUAAAAGUGCUUCAAUUACUACAACUAUAAAAUCUUGGUUUACUAGGAAUAUGUAUAAGGUGAAGUAUCCAUUAUUUCUUUAACAUCAGUAUAUAUUGUUUAACAUUCUGCUUUUGGGCUAAGACUUCCUAGGCUUUACAGAAGAGAAGUUGUUUAUCUGAACAGUGUAAAAAUAUGUGUGUGUGUGUGUGUGUGUGUGUGUGUGUAUGUGUAUAAAAAUAUAUGUUCUGUUGUUAUUUAGUUAUGUCUUCCCUGAAAACACUGAUAGAUCCAACAAGUCUCUUGAUUCCUCUUAAAGAUAAGCAAGAAGAAGAAUAAAGUAUGUCACACUUAAACUUGAGUAAAUCCAAGUUGGAAAAACAGAAGCAGAUUUUUUUUUAAUCCUACAGGAUGAAUGUUGAGAGAGACAAAAAUAUUAACACCACAUAAAUUAUAACCUAGAGAAAUUCUAAACCAGGUUGAAAACCUACGCAUAAGCAGUCAAUAAUUAUCUUACACUUAUGCAAUACAAUUUUUUAUUACAGAAAGAACUUUAGUAAUUACCUCAUGCUGUAUAUAUGGGAAAGGAGAUAAGGAAGAAAAACUCUUUAUAGUAUGCAAUUAGUUAUCUCCUGCCUUAUCUUGGUAUUUGUAGAAACACUUGGAAGUAGGAAAAGUGAACAUUUGUAUCCCUGUUCUAUAGUUUAAAAAAUUGACACACAUAAGUUAUUUUUAAUUUAUCCAGUUAAUCACCAGUAAUCAUGAUGCUUUAUGAAUGACAAUUCUUUUAUAUUUAUUCAAAAAUAUGGGGAAAAUAAAUGACAUCUGCCUAUAUAACUUAAAAUUCUUGAAGAAAAUGUGUAUAGGAAUAACUUGGUAUGAAAUGUUAUAGAAAUGUUAGUUCUUUGUCUCUUAUAGUUACAGUAAGUGGCUAAUCAUCAUGUCUACGUUUAUGUAUAAUUUAUUUACAUUUUAAAAUGUUCUAACCUUGAAUACAUAGGGAACAAAUAUCUGAUGAUAGGUGUUUGCAAGGCAGCAUCAGUGAUUUUUCUUGAUAUUUUAUCUGAAAUAUCUGAGUAUCUACUAGGAAUCUAACAUGGAAAGGUAAUUACAUAUGAUGUUGGAAGCAAAUUUGUAUACACCCUAUUUAUGGCCAAGCAAAACAGUGUAAUGUGUCUGAGCAUGUAUGUGUUCCUUUCACCAGUUUUCUUGUGGUAGAAUUUAUAAAACUGCAUAUAUUCACAAUGUACAAUGUGAUGGUUUGACGUAUAUAUACAUUGUGAAAUAAUUACCACAAUCAAGUCAAUGAACACAUUCAUCACCUCAGCGUUUUCUAAAAUUACAUUUAUCAAACUGUAUUUGAAAGUAAAUGUGUUUUCUCAUUGUUAACCACGACUUUAAAACUUUAUUACAGAUUAAUGUUAAGAAAGCUACUGAAAUUAAUUUUAGUAAUAAAACAUCUGAAUAUACACCAUGAAAUGUAUAAAUGUAUGUGCUGAUUUUAGGAGUACAACUAAAUAAGUAAUGCAAACUUACUUGCAGGAUCAUCACUUUAACUCUGUCUCUCUCUCUCUCUCUCUCUUUAUAUAUAUGUCUCUCUCAUAUAUAUGAUAUAUCUUAUACAUCUAACUAUAUAUAUGUAGAGGAAGAAAGAGACACUAUAGAGUAAUACAACCUUUCCAUUAACUGCAUAUAAAGUCAGCCUUAUAAUAAUGCCCCUGGAUUAUCUGACCCUUUAAUAAAAUGUUAUACAUAUUUAGAGACUUGGAUUGUGCCUGUUUUUACUAACAGUUGUUAUUUAAAAUAUUAUUAGUAAGUUAAUUCAUAUAAACCAUGCAGAGAAGCUGUAUAACUGUGCAUAUAAAUAGUGAAGAGAAACUGAUCUGGCAUUCAGGGAUGUUGAGAUUAUUCCAACUCCGCUGCCAAUUGGCUGUGUGUCUUUGGAGAGGUCACAUAAUAUCUCCGAGCUAUAGUUUCCUUAUCAGUAACAUAGACUAGAUGAUUUUUAAAAUUUCACUCAGCACAUAAUUUGAUCUCUAACUUAAAAGAGCUGGAAUAAAAAUCACCACUAAAAAUUAUUAGCGUUACUAUGGUUGUACUUUGUUUUUAUACAUUACAGGCAUUAAAAACUACCUAGAGUUAAUUAGUAUUCGACAAAAUUAUUUCUUACAAAUCUUACGCUAUUCUGUAACGCAUGGGUCUAAUAUGUAUUUAAUGUAGCUUUCGUACAACUGCAAAAACUUCAAAGCAUAUCUGAACUUGUGGGUUUUGUAAGACUUGAACGCUAUAAAUGAAAGUAAUGGAAAUUUUAUUAUAUUCUAUUAUCGAUUGUGUGAUUAGAGUUGUUGAGUGGUAACUCAGUGUCUCAUGUGUGUGAAAGAGAGAGAAAUGAUGACAGUUGUAAAAGCCUAAGAUACACAAGACAGAAUAGUGGUUAGGAUCAUAAGCUUGGAAAUUAGAACCGAUAUUUUACUUCCAGUGUCUGCCACAUCUCAGUGGUAUGACUUUGGGAAAGUAGUUUAAUUUCUCUGAGUUACUUCAUCUGUAGUAUGCAGAUUACAAUAGCCACCGCACAGUGGGUAUAAAGAUGAGUAAGGUUAUAUUUUUGAACACGUAGAAGAGUAUCUGACAUACAAUAAGUGUGUACCGUUAAAGUAUACUUAAACAAAAUUUAAUAUUAAUAAAAGCUAUAUAUAGGUA